rfam:Ciona savignyi cont_20048, whole genome shotgun sequence.
GGACCGUUGGUCUAGGGGCGUGAUUCUCGCUUUGGGUGCGAGAGGUUCCGGGUUAAAAUCCCGGACGGGCCA